rnacentral:rRNA from 1 species
GAUGAACGCUGGCGGCGUGCCUAACACAUGCAAGUCGAGCGAUUCUCUUCGGAGAAGAGCGGCGGACGGGUGAGUAACGCGUGGGUAACCUGCCCUGUACACACGGAUAACAUACCGAAAGGUAUGCUAAUACGAGAUAAUAUGCUUUUAUCGCAUGGUAGAAGUAUCAAAGCUUUUGCGGUACAGGAUGGACCCGCGUCUGAUUAGCUAGUUGGUAAGGUAACGGCUUACCAAGGCGACGAUCAGUAGCCGACCUGAGAGGGUGAUCGGCCACAUUGGAACUGAGACACGGUCCAAACUCCUACGGGAGGCAGCAGUGGGGAAUAUUGCACAAUGGGCGAAAGCCUGAUGCAGCAACGCCGCGUGAGCGAUGAAGGCCUUCGGUCGUAAAGCUCUGUCCUCAAGGAAGAUAAUGACGGUACUUGAGGAGGGAAGCCCCGGCGUAACUAACGUG